rnacentral:rRNA from 1 species
UACGUAGGGUGCGAGCGUUGUCCGGAAUUAUUGGGCGUAAAGGGCUCGUAGGCGGUUUGUCGCGUCGGGAGUGAAAACUCAGGGCUCAACCCUGAGCGUGCUUCCGAUACGGGCAGACUAGAGGUAUGCAGGGGAGAACGGAAUUCCUGGUGUAGCGGUGGAAUGCGCAGAUAUCAGGAGGAACACCGGUGGCGAAGGCGGUUCUCUGGGCAUUACCUGACGCUGAGGAGCGAAAGCAUGGGGAGCGAACAGG